rnacentral:rRNA from 1 species
GACGAACGCUGGCGGCGUGCCUAACACAUGCAAGUCGAGCGGAGAUAAGCGGAUGGUAACUGAAGUUUGUCUUAGCGGCGGACGGGUGAGUAACACGUGGGCAACCUGCCUUAGAGUGGGGGAUAACACCGGGAAAUCGGUGCUAAUACCGCAUAACAUACACAAACUGCAUGGUAAGUGUAUCAAAGGAGCAAUCCGCUUUAAGAUGGGCCCGCGGCUGAUUAGCUAGUUGGUAAGGUAACGGCUUACCAAGGCGACGAUCAGUAGCCGACCUGAGAGGGUGACCGGCCACACUGGAACUGAGACACGGUCCAGACUCCUACGGGAGGCAGCAGUGGGAAUAUUGCGCAAUGGGGGAACCCUGACGCAGCAACGCCGCGUGGAGGAAGAAGGUCUUCGGAUUGUAAACUCCUGUCUUCUGGGACGAAGAAUGACGGUACCAGAGGAGGAAGCCACGGCUAACUACGUG